UACGUAGGGUGCAAGCGUUGUCCGGAAUUAUUGGGCGUAAAGAGCUCGUAGGCGGUUUGUCGCGUCUGCUGUGAAAACUCGGGGCUUAACCCUGAGCCUGCAGUGGGUACGGGCAGACUAGAGUGUGGUAGGGGAGAUCGGAAUUCCUGGUGUAGCGGUGGAAUGCGCAGAUAUCGGGAGGAACACCGGUGGCGAAGGCGGUUCUCUGGGCCUGACCUGACGCUGAGGAGCGAAAGCGUGGGGAGGCGAACAGG
rnacentral:rRNA from 1 species